rnacentral:rRNA from 1 species
CAAGAGCGUAUAUUAAAGUUGUUGCAGUUAAAAAGCUCGUAGUUGGAUUUCUGGUACAAUGCGCCUGGCCCGCGACCGUUAGGUCUGUGAGUGCCGGUGCGCGUUUGCCAUCCUUCUAGAAAACGUUUCUACCCUUCACUGGGCCGGACUCGCGAUCUAGAUCUUUUACUUUGAAAAAAUUAGAGUGUUUAAAGCAGGCUUUUGCUGUGAAUACAUUAGCAUGGAAUAAUAAUCUAGGACUUCGGUUCUAUUUUGUUGGUUUCUAGUACUGAAGUAAUGAUUGAUAGGGAUAGUUGGGGGUGCUAGUAUUGGCCGGCCAGGGGUGAAAUUCUUGGAUUCGGUCAAGACUAACUUAUGCGAAAGCAUUCACCAAGGAUGUCUUCUUUAA